rnacentral:rRNA from 1 species
AUUGAACGCUGGCGGCAGGCCUAACACAUGCAAGUCGAGCGGAUGAAGGGAGCUUGCUCCUGGAUUUAGCGGCGGACGGGUGAGUAAUGCCUAGGAAUCUGCCUGGUAGUGGGGGAUAACGUUCCGAAAGGAACGCUAAUACCGCGUACGUCCUACGGGAGAAAGCAGGGGACCUUCGGGCCUUGCGCUAUCAGAUGAGCCUAGGUCGGAUUAGCUAGUUGGUGAGGUAAUGGCUCACCAAGGCGACGAUCCGUAACUGGUCUGAGAGGAUGAUCAGUCACACUGGAACUGAGACACGGUCCAGACUCCUACGGGAGGCAGCAGUGGGGAAUAUUGGACAAUGGGCGAAAGCCUGAUCCAGCCAUGCCGCGUGUGUGAAGAAGGUCUUCGGAUUGUAAAGCACUUUAAGUUGGGAGGAAGGGUUGUACGUUAAUACCGUGCAAUUUUGACGUUACCGACAGAAUAAGCACCGGCUAACUUCGUGCCAGCAGCCGCGGUAAUACGAAGGGUGCAAGCGUUAAUCGGAAUUACUGGGCGUAAAGCGCGCGUAGGUGGUUCAGUAAGUUGGAAGUGAAAUCCCCGGGCUCAACCUGGGAACUGCUUUCAAAACUGCUGAGCUAGAGUACGGUAGAGGGUAGUGGAAUUUCCUGUGUAGCGGUGAAAUGCGUAGAUAUAGGAAGGAACACCAGUGGCGAAGGCGACUACCUGGACUGAUAC